GCUGGCGGCGUGCCUAAUACAUGCAAGUCGAGCGAACAGAUGAGAAGCUUGCUUCUCUGAUGUUAGCGGCGGACGGGUGAGUAACACGUGGGUAACCUACCUAUAAGACUGGGAUAACUCCGGGAAACCGGGGCUAAUACCGGAUAAUAUUUUGAACCGCAUGGUUCAAUAGUGAAAGACGGUUUCGGCUGUCACUUAUAGAUGGACCCGCGCCGUAUUAGCUAGUUGGUAAGGUAACGGCUUACCAAGGCGACGAUACGUAGCCGACCUGAGAGGGUGAUCGGCCACACUGGAACUGAGACACGGUCCAGACUCCUACGGGAGGCAGCAGUAGGGAAUCUUCCGCAAUGGGCGAAAGCCUGACGGAGCAACGCCGNGUGAGUGAUGAAGGUCUUCGGAUCGUAAAACUCUGUUGUUAGGGAAGAACAAAUUUGUUAGUAACNGAACAAGUCUG
rnacentral:rRNA from 2 species